ensembl:lncRNA
UUGUGAUUUUGGUCUAGAUAAAUGAGCAGUGGCAGAGCAUAUUGUCUGGACAAAAAAAAAAGUGUCGAUCCAAAUUCUGCUAUCAGGUAAUUGGAUCUGUGCUGUUUAUCCAGACCUGUGUGGGCAGAAGUUCAGGCUGCCUCUUUUGCAGAGAGGGCUGAGAAGAAAGCCUUACUGGUGGAGGACUUUGGAUUUCUGCUUCACUCUGGGCCAAUCUUUGCACACUCAGAUGAAUUUAUUUGCACCAGAGGCAGCAGCUCUCUCCCCUCAGCAACAGCACGUGGCUCUACAGAUGGGCCGCGUGUGUCAAUAUGGACCUAAGUGUGAAGUUUGAAAUGAUUUCCCCUCCUUCUUCCCUGACACAAAGGUCUCCUGGGGAGGAACUGGUUACCGAGUCGAAAAAAACAUACCUCUGCUCACUGAAAGCCGUUCAUAGCACUGUUCAGACAAAUGGCUGGUGACUGGUUUUCCACUCAUCUCUUGAAGAUAUCAGUAUCUAGAAGAUUCCUGUGAUCUGUUCAGGUAUGCUGAAACAGGCAAAGAAUUCCUUAAAUUAUGUAAGCUCCAGAAACAUCAAAAACAGUGGUUUAUUUCCUGAUUCAAAGAUGAGUGCAUAUGUGCUGCAUGCACAAUGCAUGAUAUGCUCC